rnacentral:tRNA from 1 species
CGGGGCGUAGCGUAGCCCGGUUCAUCGCGCCUGCUUUGGGAGCAGGAGGUCGCAGGUUCGAAUCCUGCCGCCCCGACAA